UACGAAGGGGGCUAGCGUUGUUCGGAAUUACUGGGCGUAAAGGGCGCGUAGGCGGCCGGCUAAGUUAGGCGUGAAAGCCCAGGGCUCAACUCUGGAAUUGCGCUUAAUACUGGUUGGCUUGAGUACGGGAGAGGAUAGUGGAAUUCCCAGUGUAGAGGUGAAAUUCGUAGAUAUUAGGAAGAACACCAGUGGCGAAGGCGGCUCACUGGUCCGGUACUGACGCUGAGGUGCGAAAGCGUGGGGAGCAAACAGG
rnacentral:rRNA from 1 species